rnacentral:rRNA from 1 species
UACGGGGGGGGCAAGCGUUGUUCGGAAUUACUGGGCGUAAAGGGCGCGUAGGCGGCCUUCUAAGUCGAACGUGAAAUCCCCGGGCUCAACCCGGGAACUGCGUCCGAUACUGGAAGGCUUGAAUCCGGGAGAGGGAUGCGGAAUUCCAGGUGUAGCGGUGAAAUGCGCAGAUAUCAGGAGGAACACCGGUGGCGAAGGCGGUUCUCUGGGCCUUACCUGACACUGAGGAGCGAAAGCGUGGGGAGCGAACAGG